GAUGAACGCUGGCGGCGUGCCUAAUACAUGCAAGUCGAGCGAACAGACGAGGAGCUUGCUCCUCUGACGUUAGCGGCGGACGGGUGAGUAACACGUGGAUAACCUACCUAUAAGACUGGGAUAACUUCGGGAAACCGUAGCUAAUACCGGAUAAUAUAUUGAACCGCAUGGUUCAAUAGUGAAAUACGGUUUUGCUGUCACUUAUAGAUGGAUCCGCGCCGCAUUAGCUAGUUGGUAAGGUAACGGCUUACCAAGGCGACGAUGCGUAGCCGACCUGAGAGGGUGAUCGGCCACACUGGAACUGAGACACGGUCCAGACUCCUACGGGAGGCAGCAGUAGGGAAUCUUCCGCAAUGGGCGAAAGCCUGACGGAGCAACGCCGCGUGAGUGAUGAAGGUCUUCGGAUCGUAAAACUCUGUUAUUAGGGAAGAACAAAUGUGUAAGUAACUAUGCACGUCUUGACGGUACCUAAUCAGAAAGCCACGGCUAACUACGUG
rnacentral:rRNA from 1 species